rnacentral:rRNA from 1 species
UGAUGACGAGACGCUAAGGCGUUGAAGCAGUGUAUGUCAGACUUCCAAGAAAAGCUCGCAAUGUCACAAAUAAAAAGUGCCUGUACCAUAACCGACACAGGUGGGUAGGUAGAGUAUACUAAGGGGCGCGAGAUAACUCUCUCUAAGGAACUCGGCAAAAUGACUCCGUAACUUCGGGAGAAGGAGUGCCUUAUUUAUAAGGUUGCAAUAACAAGAUCCAAGCAACUGUUUAUCAAAAACACAGGUCUCCGCUAAGUCGUAAGACGAUGUAUGGGGGCUGACGCCUGCCCAGUGCCAGAAGGUUAAAGAAGUUGGUUAGUGUAUGCGAAGCUGAUGACUGAAGCCCUGGUGAACGGCGGCCGUAACAAUAACGGUCCUAAGGUAGCGAAAUUCCUUGUCGGGUAAGUUCCGACCCGCACGAAAGGCGUAAUGAUUUGGAUACUGUCUCGGAGAGAGGCUCGGUGAAAUAGACUUGUCUGUGAAGAUGCGGACUACCUGCACCAGGACAGAAAGACCCUAUGAAGCUUUACUGUAACUUGAAAUUGGAAUUGGACUUUGCUUGCGCAGUAUAGGUGGGAAGCGUUGAAAAUAUUCUUGCGGGAGUAUUGGAGCUAUCAGUGAGAUACCACUCUUGUAAUGUUAGAUUUCUAACUUUGAACCAUAAUCUGGUCAAAGAACAGUUUCAGGUGGGCAGUUUGACUGGGGCGGUCGCCUCCCAAAUGGUAACGGAGGCGUACAAAGGUUUCCUCUGAACGGAUAGAAAUCGUAUCUAGAGUGUAAAGGCAUAAGGAAGCUUGACUGUGAGACCUACAAGUCGAGCAGGGACGAAAGUCGGUCUUAGUGAUCUGACGGUACUGAGUGGAAAGGCCGUCACUCAACGGAUAAAAGUUACUCUAGGAUAACAGGCUGAUCUCCCCCAAGAGUUCACAUCGACGGGGAGGUUUGGCACCUCGAUGUCGGCUCAUCGCAUCCUGGGGCGGUAGUACGUCCCAAGGGUUGGGCUGUUCGCCCAUGAAAGCGGUACGCGAGCUGGGUUCAGAACGUCGUGAGACAGUUCGGUCCAUAUCCGGUGUAGGCGCUAGAAUAUUGAGAGGAGCCUUCUUUAGUACGAGAGGACCGAGAAGGACACACCGCUGGUGUACCAGUUAUCGUGCCAACGGUAAACGCUGGGUAGCUAUGUGUGGAGUGGAUAACCGCUGAAAGCAUCUAAGUGGGAAGCCCACCUCGAGAUGAGUAUUCAC